rnacentral:misc_RNA from 1 species
UUUCCGUUGGUGAACCUGCGGAAGGAUCAUUAAAGAGUAAGGGUCUUCGGGCCCGAUCUCCAACCCUUUGUUUAACUACCAUGUUGCUUUGGCGGGCCCGUCUCACGACCGCCGGAAGUUUGGCUUCGACCAAACUUCUGGCCCGUGCCCGUCAGUGGCCCCUUCAAAUUCUUGAUCAAGUAUGAUGUCUUAGUUAAAAACUUAAUAGUUAAAACUUUCAACAACGGGUCUCUUGGUUCUG